GGCCCCAAAUUCCCUUCUGAGCAUUACGGGUGUUCAUUCAUGCAACAGAUACUCAUUGAGGGCCUACUGUGUGCCAGGCGCCUUUCCGAG
rnacentral:miRNA from 1 species